CUAACAUAUCCCGCCUUAGCCUUGUGGAGACCAUACUUCCAUAACAAUGUUGCGUAUCUUUUGCGAAGAUAUUCACCUCGAAAACCAUUAUAUGGAUGUUGAUUUCGUCGCUCAAGAAUUCAGCAAAUACAGCUACGAACAUUCCGCACUCACUACAAAAAAAAUAAGAAGAUUAAUUAUAAAAAUGAAUUAGAUACAAAAAUUAAAGAAAGAGUGAUACAAUACUUCCAGGCUAUCACAUUUGGGAUCUGACCUUGGUAGUUGCAUUUGAAAAUAUUCAGAUAUGGAUCAAAUACAGUAUCCUUGAAUAAUUGAAUACCUUCAUCCCCUAUUGACAACACUAAGUAUUGAAUGAAAUUUAUAUUGUGAGUAGGGCAAAACUUAAGGGAGUGUUUUGAAAUCUGUUUAAUUACAUAAUUCAUAUUCUGCAAUUCAAAAAAAUGAUGUUGAUCACUAAAAAAGGAUCCAAAUGAUACAUACAAAUCUGAAUGAGAAUGAUUUUGAACUAAAAUAUGAAUAAAAAUAUAAAUUUGUAUCUGAUACAUAAUUCUAACUACACAUUAUCUUUCACUCAAAUUGAUACUUAAAAGUAACAAAAACUUUGAAGAUGAUACAUUAUGUUGUUCUGCAACUUACAUGUAAUCCUCUAAUUUGAGCUUUAAUCUUUCAUAAACUUAUCAUAACAAAAAAAUGACCAAAAUUGGAAUUUUAUUUAUAAAAAUGAUUAAGUGAUACUCAAUACCAACAUUUGAUACAUUAAUCAUAAAUAUCAACCAUUUUGUCUCAUUAUUUUAAUUUAUCUUUUUGAUACAUUAGUCGUUAUAAAUCAACAAUAUGUACCAAAUAUUAGGAUUUUUGUGUUAGAAAAUUAGAUUUCAACCAAUAUACAAAAUAAUUUUUUUUAACAAUAAUGUAUCUACUAUAAAGCAAAUAAGAACAUGUGAAUACAAAAUAUUAAAAAUAAAGACAAAAAGUAUUAAAAAAAUACAUACAGUGGGUAGUGCAGGUCGGGAUAUGACUGGGACAACCUUUCUAUCCCUUUUCUUUGGUGUUUUUGCCACUUUUGCUUCCGAUGAUGCAUGUACC
rnacentral:lncRNA from 1 species